CAGUAGCGCGGUGGUCCCACCUGACCCCAUGCCGAACUCAGAAGUGAAACGCCGUAGCGCCGAUGGUAGUGUGGGGUCUCCCCAUGCGAGAGUAGGGAACUGCCAGGCA
rnacentral:rRNA from 1 species